UACGUAGGGUGCGAGCGUUGUCCGGAUUUACUGGGCGUAAAGAGCGCGCAGGCGGCUGGUCAAGUCCGAUGUGAAAGCUCCCGGCUUAACUGGGAAAUUGCAUCGGAAACUGAUCGGCUGGAAGGUGGGAGAGGGUAGCGGAAUUCCCGGUGUAGUGGUGAAAUGCGUAGAUAUCGGGAGGAACACCAGUGGCGAAAGCGGCUACCUGGCCCAUUCUUGACGCUGAGGCGCGAAAGCUAGGGGAGCAAACGGG
rnacentral:rRNA from 1 species